rnacentral:rRNA from 1 species
ACUCCUACGGGAGGCAGCAGUGGGGAAUAUUGCACAAUGGGCGCAAGCCUGAUGCAGCCAUGCCGCGUGUAUGAAGAAGGCCUUCGGGUUGUAAAGUACUUUCAGCAGUGAGGAAGGCGGGUACGUUAAUAGCGUGCUUGUUUGACGUUAGCUGCAGAAGAAGCACCGGCUAACUCCGUGCCAGCAGCCGCGGUAAUACGGAGGGUGCGAGCGUUAAUCGGAAUUACUGGGCGUAAAGCGCAUGCAGGUGGUUUGUUAAGUCAGAUGUGAAAGCCCGGGGCUCAACCUCGGAAUUGCAUUUGAAACUGGCAGACUAGAGUACUGUAGAGGGGGGUAGAAUUUCAGGUGUAGCGGUGAAAUGCGUAGAGAUCUGAAGGAAUACCGGUGGCGAAGGCGGCCCCCUGGACAGAUACUGACACUCAGAUGCGAAAGCGUGGGGAGCAAACAGGAUUAGAUACCCUGGUAGGAUAGCG